AUAAAUAUCAAACAUUGUAGUGCGGAUGGCAAUUUCACAUUUUUAUAACACCACCGAACACAAAUAUAUAAAUCUGUUAUAGUGUUAUUAAACAACCAUUAAAUACGAAAGCACGUAAACUUCUUAAAAAAAACUUUCUUUCGGGUGGAUUUAAUUAAAAACGACUGAGAGUCGUUGUUUUUCGCGAGUUUGACAUUCCCGAAACCAUUUGUCAUUAAUGUGUCGAGUUCGAGCACAAGCCUAUUAUUGCUGAAGCGAUGUUGUCCGUCCGGAUAACACGCAUCAUUUAGUGGAAUAGCACAAUAACUUAUAACGCUGCGUCCGGACGCUGAAGUGAAAACGUAUCUUAAUUUAGACGAACGAGUAAUGAGUCCAC